CCCCCACGACCCCACAUCUGGAACAAGAGCAGGUGUGGGUGCUGCUCUUUGCAGGGAAAGGGCUCCUUUGUGCCUCCUGCCCCUGGGAUCGCUCCUUCCUGGCCCUGCCCCGGCAGCCUUGCCGUCAGCGCCCACUCUGCAGUCAGCACCCCUCGGUGGGGGACCCCACCAGCCUCCAAUCCUGGACACAGGUGGCCUCUCAGCUCAGCCCCCGGUGAGCCCUAGAAGCUCCCCAGCCUCUCUGCAAGCUCAGCGUGACACUCAGGACGAUGCUGGCUGACGUCUCACCGGCGCUUGGAGCUUUGGAGGUUGGAGAGACGGCAGGGCCCUCACCCACAUUUCCGGAACCGAAGAUCCCUCCUGAGACUCAUUCUUGGAAGUCAGGCAUGACUCAGUGCUUUUCACCUUCUGCCUCUCUUCCCUCUAACAUGUUUCCGAAGGCUGACUCGCCCCCAAACAAAGCACAGCCCCGGGGGCACUAGCCACCUGGCGGGAGGAGACCCAGCCCCGGGCAAAGCCGACACAGCAGUUUAGACCCAGGCUACACCAGCGCCACAACCCCAAGAGUCAUGACCCCUUCAGGCCAGAACCCACCCAGUGCCUCCCACCGGGCGUCUUCUUCUCACUCCUCCAAAGGCAAAUAGUAAAAAAAUUCCUAAAAAGUGAUGUUACAGAUGGUUCCUCCCCAAAUCCCAGAGCAAGCUGAUGGCAGGAUCGGCUUUUCAUACUUCUCUCAACAAAGCGCUGUCGCCGGCCCCACUCUCACGUCCCUCCCCACACGUGUGUGGUGUGAGUGUGUACAUGCAUGCAUUACACACGUGCCACACCCGGCUGCACAUGUGUGCACACCCACAAAUGCACGCAAUGCACACACACACACCUGUCUAAACCUGUGACCUGGGAACUCUGAAACUACCCGGGUUUCUUACACCUGCUACUUUCUCUGCUGUGUGUCUUCCGUCAGCCAUUCAUCAUAAGCAUAUCUAUCAGGUGCCGCUGUCCCGGGCACAGCCGGGGAUGGGGAAACAAAUGAAACCAACUGUUGAGCACCUGCUGUUUGCUGGGCUGUGGCCUGGGUGCUUCUCCUGCAUGUUAGCUCACUACUGCCCUGCAAGGAGGAUUGUGAGCCCAUUGGACAGACGAGGAAGUGGAGUCUUGCUGACAAAACAAACCAGCUGUGUGACUUGGAGCUGCAACCACCGGCUCAGAGGCUUUGCUCUUUUCACGUCGGGGGCUAACCUUCCACUCGAACCUCUGCGAAGCCGUCACUGACACCCCCCAACCCUGACUCCCCUGCUCUGUUCUGUGAUGGCCCAGCUCCCGUGAUGGUCACCUGCUGACACACCUGUGCCUCCAGGAACAGACCGGGACCUACUCCUCCUGACACAGUCAGGGCGCAGCGUGGCUACAGGUCAGGCUAGAAUUAGAGCUCUUACAUUCCUGAGCAAACGCGCCCUCUGGCCACGUCCGGUCCUUGAGCCUCGAUGGGGAGCCCCGUCCCAGGUGGGGACAAUGGGCUACAGGUUGUACAGACAGAGGCUGGAUGUCCUGCUCUGACCUGUCCCCCUCUCACCACCGCCCUUGACAAGAAGCACCUGAAACGCCAGGUCACGUCCCAGCUGGGAUACUCCAACCAGGGCCCUGGCGGGGCGCCUCUUAUACUCUGAAUGCAAAGUCUACCAUGAUGCCGCUUCUCUAAACCACAGUUCAAGUUUAGUUCUCAACAUCGAAACAGAUCCGGCUUAGGUAGAUGCAUGUCUAAAACCUUUUCAAAGGUUCCAAACCCUAAUCUUCUUAGAAUGCACGUUUCCUCCAACCCCCCCACCCCCGCCGUGACUCAGCAGAUAAGGGGCAAUGGAGGCAACUGCAUACUAGGCGCUUCCCCUCAUUCUCCAGGCCCCCCUUUCUUCCUUUAGCCAGAAACCUGCAGGUUGGGUAUAAGCCUCGUCAGCACCUUACACGGGAGGACGCACAUCUCAGGAAGCGAAGGGCCAAGGCCGCACAUGCUGAUUCUAGAGUCCCUUCUUUAUUUCUUUAAUUUCUCAUUUAUGUAGGUAGUAAUUCACCCAGCUCGAAAAUCAAAAUAAUCUGACAGUGCAGAGGGUUGCUCCCUCUGGUUUCCUGCCUUCUCCCUGCACCACCAACCCCACUUCCAGCCCAGAGGCCACACUUUCUAUUAGUUUCUGGAGCAUCCUUUUUGAGGAUUCUUUAAUCAGUGCAAGAACACAGGCAAACGAGUCCCUCGUGCUCCCUUGUAACACAAAGGCCAGUGCUGCACACCGGCUGUCCCUACCCCGCCAGACUCCCCACCUCGGCGCCUAAAUGCUUGCUCGCCCCUUAGAUGGCACCUCCUCCAGACACACCACCACGUGGGCGCCCAGUCCUAGCGCGAGCUCGCUUGUUUCCUUUGGCUUCUUCGUGGUGUUGCCAUGAAUAACCGUGACGCCCAUCUUUUCCUGGGUGUUGGCAAACUUUCAGAAGAGCGUUCCCACAUCGGAAGAUUAGUAUUUUCCUAGUAUUUUCCCUCUAUAUUAACCGACCGGUUUGCACACCUUCCAACGAUUUGAGUAAAAGCAGGAAAAGGAGUGAUUUUCGUAGGGCCUCUCCAUCAGAAAGUGCUGAAAUGUGCUUGAAUCUGCCCGUUUCACAGGGGCCCCGCAUCUCUCGUGCUGCUUGAGGCCAAGAGGCUUCUCCCCUGCACCUCUUAAGUCACUGCCCCGUGAGCUGGGCUGUGCACGUCCCCGCCCACCUGUUGGGCUUCGUCGUGAGGAAGAGUCUGGGAUAUUCUUUAACCGUGUGGAUAGAGUGACUCCAAGAGAAAGGGACGACCAUGUAGGUAAAGGGAAUUUAUGGGUAAAGAUGACAUUUAUAUUUAUGCUAUAACUAUGACAUUUUAUCAUAACGGUUUUGGAUGAAAGUAUAAAAUUUUCCUGAUUACUUUUAACUAAUCUCUGUUCAGCAAAUAAAACAAUUCCUCUUGAGUGGCCUACAAGCCCCAGGCUAUUGGUUAUUCAUUUUAGAAAAAAAAUUUAGGGACGAUAACGUAAAAUGGAAUGACUGAGAUGAAGAUUCAGACCCAAGAACUUCCUAAACAGCAGGUGCAUCCUUUGUUCUUAGGAGGCUUCUUCCGGGCUCCGCUCAAUGACCUUUUCAAUAAAGAGGAAACAAAGGAAAAUCAAAAGCUUUUGGCACCAUUCCAAAGCACAUGCAAUUUAUAUUUAGUGUCUGUGUAUUUCCCCAGGUUUCUCAAACAUGGCAUGGUUUUUCAUUUUUAAAGUCUCGCAAACUCAUCACCAGCCAGCAGACCGUCUCCUUGGAGGCAGGAUGAAACCGUUGCCCGUAGCAACCACCCCAGCCCUCCCAUUUACACAUGCAGCCUCAGAUCUCAGGCAAAUUGGGGUCUUGGAUUGCAGGUGCUCAGAGCUAUAGACAUACUCUAACUCCGACCCUGGUGUAGCCUUAAUUCAGGAGUUAAUCUCCCUGGCCUGGGAGGAGGGGCUGAGGGAGGGUCUGGGAUGCUGGCCCAGAGCUAGAGCCCUACCCUCGGCCACAGGACCUCGGACACAGACACGAAGGCUUAGGGCCACCUGCCAGGUCAGGAUGGGCAAACCCCUAUGGUCACUCGGCCGUAAAAAGCUGGCGGAGCCAGGACACUGCUCGUAAAGGGCAUGCUCACAGGCCACGUGUAGUCAGGCCAGACACAGAAUGUUUCCAGGGUCUAAGGCUUUGGGGGGACGUUCUAGAGCCCCCAGGGCCCACCCACAGAUCAGACUCCAAGGCCUCCAGGUGACGGGGCCCCUGGUCCAUCCAGUUCCGCAUAAGCCUCCCUACUAGAGGAUUUGAGGGUGUGAGGGAUGUGACACUGCUUAUUUGUGACCUUGAGAUGACUGACUAGUGUGGCACGGCCACAGGACUUGAACGAAGUCGGUCACAGCCCUUUAACUUACCAUUGAAAGUAAACCCGAGUCUCCCCGAGUCCUCUUUGCUGAGAGCUGGGGGUGGGCCACACCAGGCUCGUCUAAACCCACGCCGGGCCCGUCUACACAUGGGGGUCCAAGAGGGGGUCACACAUCGCCGAGCCCCAGAGGGUCCUGCAUGAGCCAAUCAGAGGGCAUGGUCUGGUGCAGGUGGAGGGACCGGGGCCCCGCACCCUCAGAACCACGGGUGGGGGGUGGGACCCUUACGCCGGCCAGUCCAUCAGGACACGAUGGACCAAGAACACGUCCGCUGCCGUGGCUACUUCGUCCCUUUCAACCUGAACUGCAAGCCUAGCCUUUCACAGAACGUGCGCUGUGCUGCCCGUGAGGGGCUUGAAGCCCCCGCCCAGGACAGCCAACGGAGUCUGAAGACAGCUGACCGGGUGCGGCCUGAGAACAGAGGCUCACGUUCAAGAGGCAGCUUUGACCUCAGCAGGGCUGGAGCCGCCCUCCCAGCCCCCCUGCCCUGGCCCUGUCUCCCUCUCCUCCCUCUCCUCUUUCUCCCCCUCCUUCCCUCCAACCCCCCACCCCAGGCACCUGCCCCCGCAGGACACUGGCCCAGCUCCCCCCUGCCCAGCGGACAAAGGGGAUGAACCCUUGCAUCGAGGGUGUAUCUUCAGCCUCUGCUCUCGAAACUCGAAUCAUCGUCUGCUGGGGGGAGGGGUGCAUGAGCCCAGCAGGUUCAUAGGAACUGCUCGGGUCACCCACGAGCAGCACGCGACAUCGUCUCGCUGCUCCAGGGACACGCGGCCGUUUUCUCCCAUGCGGGUUCCUGGCAGCCCCACUGUGGAAAAGGACGAGUCUGCGAACCCCCAGCCCAGAGCCAGCCUGGGGCCUGCCACCCCGGGCGACACGUUCACGGGCGACUCACCCUCUGUCCCUGAGCCUGGAGAGGCCUCUCACGUGGCUGCCUCGUGACCCACUUCUGAACAUCUGUGUUAGUUUUCCUUUCUUUUCUUUCUUUCUUUUUUUUUUUAAAAAAAAAAAAAAAAAAAAAAAAACCUGUUUGGCCACAGUUUGGAGCAAUGAGAGGUUUCUCACUGUGUCCUGAGGCUGAAUUCCUGUUCCGAUUGCAGCGCAAAAGGUCCCGCACUGUGGCCUCUCCUAAGAAAAUGUCCUUUCGUGGAGUUCCGGUGGUGGCUCAGCGGUAACAACGCCAGCUGGUACCCAUGAGGACAAGGGUUCGAUCCCUGGCCCCGUUCAGUGAGUUAAGGAUCCUGCAUUGCUGUGGCUGUGGUGGAGGCCAGCAGCUGUAGCUCCGAUUCGACCCCUAGCCUGCAAACCUCCAUGUGCCA
rnacentral:lncRNA from 1 species